UACAGAGGGGGCAAGCGUUGUUCGGAAUUACUGGGCGUAAAGGGGUGCGUAGGCGGGUCUUUUAAGUCAGGGGUGAAAUCCUGGAGCUCAACUCCAGAACUGCCUUUGAUACUGAAGAUCUUGAGUUCGGGAGAGGUGAGUGGAACUGCGAGUGUAGAGGUGAAAUUCGUAGAUAUUCGCAAGAACACCAGUGGCGAAGGCGGCUCACUGGCCCGAUACUGACGCUGAUGCACGAAAAGCGUGGGGGAGCAAACAGG
rnacentral:rRNA from 1 species